GACGAACGCUGGCGGCGUGCUUAACACAUGCAAGUCGAGCGGGAUCCAACCGGUGGCAACACCGGGGAAGAUCUAGCGGCGAACGGGUGAGUAACACGUGAGCAACCUGCCCCGAAGACUGGGAUAACACCGGGAAACCGGUGCUAAUACCGGAUGUCGUCAUUAGGCCGCAUGACCUGAUGAUGAAAGGAUUCAUCGCUUCGGGAGGGGCUCGCGGGCUAUCAGCUUGNGGUGGGGUAACGGCCUACCAAGGCGACGACGGCUAGCUGGUCUGAGAGGACGACCAGCCACACUGGGACUGAGACACGGCCCAGACUCCUACGGGAGGCAGCAGUGGGGAAUCUUGCGCAAUGGGCGAAAGCCUGACGCAGCAACGCCGCGUGGGGGAUGAAUGCCUUCGGGUUCGUAAA
rnacentral:rRNA from 1 species